rnacentral:rRNA from 1 species
GAUGAACGCUAGCGGCAGGCUUAAUACAUGCAAGUCGUGGAGCAGCAGGAGUAGCAAUACUUGCUGGCGACCGGCAAACGGGUGCGGAACACGUACACAACCUUCCUUCAAGCGGGGAAUAGCCCAGAGAAAUUUGGAUUAAUACCCCAUAAUAUAUAGUAUAGGCAUCUAUAAAAUAUUAAAGCUUCGGCACUUGAAGAUGGGUGUUCGUAUGAUUAGGUAGUUGGUGAAGUAAUGGCUCACCAAGCCUACGAUCAUUAGCUGAUGUGAGAGCAUGAUCAGCCACACGGGAACUGAGACACGGGCCCGACUCCUACGGGAGGCAGCAGUAAGGAAUAUUGGACAAUGGGCGAAAGCCUGAUCCAGCCAUGCCGCGUGAAGGAUUAAGGUCCUCUGGAUUGUAAACUUCUUUUAUAUGGGACGAAAAAAGGCAAUUCUUUGUCACUUGACGGUACCAUAUGAAUAAGCACCGGCUAACUCCGUGCCAGCAGCCGCCGUAAUAC